GCCUUGUUGCCAAGAAAAGCUUCUAAACGUUGAUUCUUAAGUGCCUGUACCGCAAUCCGACACAGGUAGAUGGGUAGAAUAUACCAAGGCGAACGGGAGAACCUUCGUUAAGGAACUAGGCAAUUUGGCCUCGUAACUUCGGGAUAAGAGGUGUCUUCUGGCGUGAGUGAAUAAUGAGCGCUGGAAGAUCGCAGUGAAAUGGUUCUAGGGACUGGUUAACAAAACCACAGGUCUCUGCAAAGCCGUAAGGCGAUGUAUAGGGGCUGACACCUGCCCAGUGCCGGAAGGUUAAAGGGAGAGGUUAGUUCCCCUUCGGGGGAGCGAAGCUUUGAACUGAAGCCCCGGUGAACGGCGGCCGUAACUAUAACGGUCCUAAGGUAGCGAAAUUCCUUGUCGGGUAAGUUCCGACCCGCACGAAAGGUGUAACAACUAGAACAGUGUCUCGACGAAGGACCCGGCGAAAUUGAAAUGGCUGUGAAGAUGCGGCCUACCCGCAGUAGGACAAAAAGACCCCGUGGAGCUUUACUGCAACUUGGCAUUGAGUUUGGAUUUCAUUUGUGUAGGAUAGGUGGGAGGCUAUGAAACUAGGGCGCCAGCCUUGGUGGAGCCGCCGGUGAAAUACCACCCUGAUGAACUCUAGACCCUAACCUUUAUCCGUAAUCCGGAUAAGGGACCGUGCCAGGUGGGCAGUUUGACUGGGGCGGUCGCCUCCUAAAGAGUAACGGAGGCGCCCAAAGGUUCCCUCAGGCUGAAUGGAAACCAGCCAGAGAGUGUAAAGGCAUAAGGGAGCUUAACUGCAAGGCCAACGCGCCGAGCAGAGACGAAAGUCGGGCUUAGUGAUCCCACGGUUCCGAGUGGAAGGGCCGUGGCUCAUCGGAUAAAAGCUACCCCGGGGAUAACAGGCUAGUCAGGUCCAAGAGUCCAUAUCGACGACCUGGCUCGGCACCUCGAUGUCGGCUCAUCGCAUCCUGGGGCUGGAUAAGGUCCCAAGGGUCGGGCUGUUCGCCCGUUAAAGCGGUACGCGAGCUGGGUUCAGACCGUCGUGAGACAGGUCGGUCUCUAUCCACUGUGGGCGUAAGAGAUUUGAGAGGAGCUGCUCCUAGUACGAGAGGACCGGAGUGGACAGACCUCUGGUGUGCCAGCUGUCGUGCCAACGGCAUAGCUGGGUAGCUACGUCUGGCAGAGAUAACCGCUGAAAGCAUCUAAGCGGGAAACUUGCCUCAAGAUUAGAUCUCUAUAAUCCCGUAAAGGGAGUAAGAUCGCAGGUAGACUACCUGCUUGAUAGGCAGUAUGUGUAAGCGCAGUAAUGCGUUGAGCUAAACUGUACUAAUGAUCGAGAGCUUCCAA
rnacentral:rRNA from 1 species